rnacentral:rRNA from 1 species
AUUGAACGCUGGCGGAAUGCUUUACACAUGCAAGUCGAACGGCAGCACGGACUUCGGUCUGGUGGCGAGUGGCGAACGGGUGAGUAAUAUAUCGGAACGUGCCCAGUCGUGGGGGAUAACGUAGCGAAAGCUACGCUAAUACCGCAUACGAUCUACGGAUGAAAGCGGGGGAUCGGAAGACCUCGCGCGAUUGGAGCGGCCGAUAUCAGAUUAGGUAGUUGGUGAGGUAAAGGCUCACCAAGCCGACGAUCUGUAGCUGGUCUGAGAGGACGACCAGCCACACUGGGACUGAGACACGGCCCAGACUCCUACGGGAGACAGCAGUGGGGAAUUUUGGACAAUGGACGCAAGUCUGAUCCAGCCAUUCCGCGUGCAGGACGAAGGCCUUCGGGUUGUAAACUGCUUUUGUACAGAACGAAAAGGUCUCUAUUAGUACUAGGGGCUCAUGACGGUACUGUAAGAAUAGGCACCGGCUAACUACGUGCCAGCCGCCGCCGUAA